rnacentral:rRNA from 1 species
GACGAACGCUGGCGGCGUGCCUAACACAUGCAAGUCGAACGGGGUGUUCCUUCGGGGACACUUAGUGGCGAACGGGUGAGUAACGCGUGAGAAACCUGCCUUUCAGUGGGGGACAACAGUUGGAAACGACUGCUAAUACCGCAUGACACUUUAGUACCGCAUGGUACAGAAGUCAAAGCUUAAUGUGCUGAAAGAUGGUCUCGCGUCUGAUUAGCUAGAUGGCGGGGUAACGGCCCACCAUGGCGACGAUCAGUAGCCGGUCUGAGAGGAUGAACGGCCACAUUGGGACUGAGAUACGGCCCAGACUCCUACGGGAGGCAGCAGUGGGGAAGUAUUGGGCAAUGGGGGAAACCCUGACCCAGCAACGCCGCGUGAAGG